AUGCCGGUAGUCAAAGGCUGGCCCAAACUCACAGUAGAGCUGAAGACAGCCUUGGGGAUGCCUGAUCCCUCUGCUUCUGACCCAAUGAACAGAUUUGGCUGUAUUGGGUGCCUGGUUACCAGGGCUACCGUCUCUGCUUUCCACACAGCAAAGUGGAGAUUGUUGCCAUCAACGACCCCUUCAUUGACCUCCACUACAUGGUCUACAUGUUCCAGUAUGACUCCACCCAUAGCAAAUUCAACAGUACAGUCAAGGCCAAAAAUGGCAAGCUUGACAUCAACGGGAAGCCCAUCACCAUCUUCCAGGAGCGAGACCCCACUAACAUCAAAUGGGGUGAGGCCGGUGCUGAGUAUGUCGUGGAGUCUACUGGCAUCUUCACCACCCUGGAGAAGGCCGGGACCCACUUGAAGGGUGGAGCCAAAAGGGUUAUCAUCUCUGCCCCUUCUGCCGAUGUCCCCAUGUUUGUGAUGGGUGUGAAUCACGAGAAAUAUGACAACUCACUCAAGAUUGUCAGCAAUGCAUCCUGCACCACCAACUGCUUAGCCCCCCUGGCCAAGGUCAUCCAUGACAACUUUGGCAUCAUGGAAGGGCUCAUGACCACAGUUCAUGCCAUCACUGCCACUCAGAAGACUGUGGAUGGUCCCUCUGGAAAGCUGUGGCUUGAUGGCCGUGGGGCUGUUGAGAACAUCAUCCCUGCAUCCACUGGUGCUGCCAAGGGUGUGAGCAAGGUCAUCCCAGAGCUGAACUGGAAGCUCACUGGCAUGGCCUUCCAUGUUCCUACCCCCAAUGUGUCCGUUGUGGAUCUGACGUGCCGCCUGGAGAAACAUGCCAAGUAUGAUGGCAUCAAGAAGGUGGUGAAGUGGGCACCUGAGGACCCACUGAAGGACAUCCUGGGCUACACUGAGGACCAGGUUGUCUCCUGCAACUUCAACAGCAACUCCCACUCUUCCACCUUUGAUGCUGGGGCUGGCAUUUGUUCUCAAUGACAACAUUGUCAAGCUCAUUUCCUGGUAUGACAAUGAAUAUGGCUACAGCAACAGGGAUGGAACUGUGAGCCAGCCAGAUGACUCAGCAGACCUGUCCCUGAGUGUGCGCAUUGCGUACUGUCUGUUGGGAGCCCUGGUGUGCCUGUCCCUGAGUGUUCACACGCUCUGCGAAAGCUGCAUAUCCCUGAGAAUGCGCACACUCUCGAAAAACAACCUGAGCCCUGGUGGGAGAACUGCAGUGUGGGCCCUGCUCUCAGAGGCCACUCCACCUUGUUCUGAGCUCUGGAGGAUGCCACAGAAGGCCAAGGACGGUGGCUCCCCUGAUACUGAAGUAGGCCAUGUGAAGGCAGCCCCAUGA